GAUGAACGCUGACAGAAUGCUUAACACAUGCAAGUCAACUUGAAUUUGGGUUUUUAACUUAGGUUUGGGUGGCGGACGGGUGAGUAACGCGUAAAGAACUUGCCUCCCAGCUAGGGACAACAUUUGGAAACGAAUGCUAAUACCUAAUAUUAUGAUAAUAGGGCAUCCUAUAAUUAUGAAAGCUAUAAGCGCUGUGAGAGAGCUUUGCGUCCCAUUAGCUAGUUGGAGAGGUAACGGCUCACCAAGGCGAUGAUGGGUAGCCGGCCUGAGAGGGUGAUCGGCCACAAGGGGACUGAGACACGGCCCUUACUCCUACGGGAGGCAGCAGUGGGGAAUAUUGGACAAUGGACCAAGAGUCUGAUCCAGCAAUUCUGUGUGCACGAUGAAGUUUUUCGGAAUGUAAAGUGCUUUCAGUUGGGAAGAAAGAAAUGACGGUACCAACAGAAGAAGUGACGGCUAAAUACGUG
rnacentral:rRNA from 1 species